AGAAGAUAAAAAAGAUAAAAGUACAAACCAGGUGGACUUAUCCUACAAUUUACCAUCUUGAAUGCACCAUUGUCUCACCUGAACUGCCUCUUGUAUGGGCAGGAAGAAAAAAAUACAUUUUAAAGAUAACAUAUAAUUUGUAUUUCACUUGAUCAGCUGUUAUGCUCAUCAAUGUAUAUGUACAUGUUUCAAGUACAUAGGACUAUUUAUGCAAAUUUUCAUGAAAAAGUGGUUUAGUUUGGGAUAAUUGUGUCUGGAAAGUUAUAUUUCUAGAUAAUCUGUAUUUCUAUUAACAUUUCUUACCAGACAAAUUUAAAAUAUGGAAAAAACUAUUACAGAAUUUUAUACCAUAUUUCAGCUUUCUUCAGAACUAUCUAGCGGGUUUUUUCUUAAUACAAUGUAUAUAUAACAGUAAGAUAUUAAAAUCAGUACACUUUGGUAACUGCUGAUGCAAUGAGGGGGAUCUUUUCACCAAACAGAAUAUAUGUGCAUUAAAGAUUAGGUUACUAAACUUCUACAUAAACCUGUCCUGUAAAUUGUGUAUGUAAUAUGCAUAUAUGAUACAAACACCCUCUUGAAAUAAAGUUAGCGUGUUUUCAGUGUAUUUGAGGUUUUACAAAAUAUUUCAUUAUUUAUUAUUUUCGUUUUAAUUUUCAAAAGACAAACUAGCUGCUUUCUUAGAAUUUGCUUUAAGUAAAUAUUGUUUGUUAUAAUAUACUUACAGUUAUAUUCUUUUCUCAGACCUGUGAGUUCAUAAAAAACGUCGUAAAAAUGCAGCAUUUCAUCUGGGAGUAAGGAAAAUCAGUAUUCAUCAAGACAGAUUUAAGAACAUUCCUAACAUAGACCAAAUUUAAGCUAUUUAAUAGAUAUGUGAUAUUCAUUACAUAUACACACAUACAAAAUUGACACUGGUAUGUACAGUACCUGUCAGCUAUAAUGGAGGAUAUCAAAAAAUUAUUUUUUUCAGAUACUUAAUACCUACAAUUAAAAAACAAUAUGUAUAGUUUGAAAGUAGAGAGGGGAAAACAACAUUUUAAAUGUUAGUGAACGGAACUAUUCACCAAUAAUGUUUUGAAGUUUUGUUCUCGACCUCCUCUGUAUGACGAGGUUGAGUUUAUCAUUACGUAUAAGAACACACUUCCUACCCAGUAUUUGCACUGUAAAGGGUAAAAAACAGGGAGAAUAUGGAUUACUGUAUAUCAGUGAAGAUUUAAAUUUGGACUUUAUUGGUGAAAGUGAAUAUAUUACACGGCAAGGAUGUUCUUGUUCGUCAUAAUGUGAUGAAAUUUCAAAAUGUAUUGCCAAAUAUAAGUUCUAUUCCAUAUGUAAGAUACAAAUAUAAUGGCUACUUUUUUUAAAUGGUGAAUAUAUAAUUUUGAAAAAAAAAAUCCGAAACAUUGACUAAUUUGAAAAGACCUUGUAAAUAUCAUUUCUUAUGACCCGUAUAUUUCACGAGUGUAUAUGUACAAUUGUAUGACAAAAGGGUAUUGAUGAUAUUUUGUGUGUAUGAAUACGUAAGAUACAUUGAUUACUGGUACUUUAUAUAUAUGGUGAUAUCUUAGUCAUUAAAUUUGAAUUUAUAGAUUUUAACAUCUUUUUGAACCUCUCAUCAUUUGAAAUUUCAUUGACUUUUAAUAGGAUACUUGGGUAUAACAUAGCCUUUUUCAUGAACUGGCUUUUCUAUAAACUUGCAUCUCUUCACCUUUUACCAUGCAUACUGUACAUGUAUACUGGUGUAGAGGUGUACGAAAGCAUGCAUGGACAAUUCUUUGAUUAAAUAUUUUUAGCAUCAAAGGUUUUAAGAUUAUAAUUGAAAAUUCCGAGUACACUGUUUCUGUUUAAAGAAAAAUUGUUUUGAACAAAAAGUGAUUGGCAACCAGUUCAAAAUGUAAAUGUUUUAAAAAAUGAAGAAAAAAAAUGUGUAUGCAUUUCAUUUAAGGUUAAAAAAAUGAACUGAUGAACACAUUUUAAAUUGAUUUCCAUUUUAGUACAUACAUUGUUUUAAUAACAUUCCAUCAAAUGAAAACAAACAAUAUAAGACUAUGAUCAAAGCCAUUGUCAGUCUAUCAUAAUGAUGGUAUCUUGUGUCGACCAUUUCCUGAAAAGGCUCUGCUCGAUUUGUAGACUGGAAACACAUCUUGCUUGACCGGGCAAUCACUCAUUUACAAAGAAAAAUCAGUGGUACGUGCGAAAUCAAUAAGACCGACACAUUCCAAAUUAGACUAGCACACAACAAAUCGAGCAGAGCCCUAACAUUGAUUGUUGAAUGAAAUAGAACUGUGUUCCCUUCUCUCCUUAAGUCGUACCUAGUCGUGUUGUCAUCCGUGUCUUAUAUUGGAAUAUGUAAACUAGAAGUAUGUAUACGCUUGUGUUAAUAGAGGUAUGUAGACACUGUGUGUUGUCAGGGGAUGCAUUUAACCGACGUCUUCUCACAGAGGUUUGUCUGGCAGUCUUCUACCCGAUUAACAAUUCAAAGAUUUGAAAACGUGUUCAGUCAUGUUUUCUUUAAUCUGAAAUUCAAACUGUAAGGGUGUUUAAAAACCUGUUGCAGGCUAGCGCUGUUGAAAACCAUUUGACCUAGAACUUAAUGUGAUCAUUUUAGCACACCAGGAUUAUUUCAGUCAUAUCCAAUCCUAUGCUGAUAUUUGAAUAGGUACAGACAUUCGAUGUUGAAAUAUUGUGGGUUCUUUUCUUUUCCUUUUUUUUUUCUUUUAAAGAAAUUGACCAAUCACUGCUGGUGUUCGAGAAUUUGGUUGCAAGGCAUCACAUACCACUCAUGUGACCAGGGUUUUUACACACUGACCAAUUUUUGUGAAGUGUCCAGAUUUGCUAAGGUCUGAUCAAUCAUUGUGAUGUGUCCAUAUUUAUUAGACACUGACCAAUCACUGAAAUGUCGAGGGUUGCAAGGCUGUUACCAAUUAAAUAAAGUGACCUGGGUCGCUUAGAAUGGUGAGGUACCCAGGGUUUCUAGGUUCUGACCAAUCAUGAUCAAUGUGAGGUACCCCAGGUUGCUAGGCUCUGAUCCAUCGUUGUGAGGUACCCAGGGUUGCUAGGUUCUGACCAAUCAUUAUGAGGUACCAAGAGUUGCUAGGUUCUGACCAAUCAUGAUCAAUGUGAGGUACCCCAGGUUGCUAGGCUCUGAUCCAUCGUUGUGAGGUACCCAGGGUUGCUAGGUUCUGACCAAUCAUUAUGAGGUAACAAGAGUUGCUAGGUUCUGACCAAUCAUUGUGCAGUGUCAAGGAUGGGUUGGAAGGCUCUGACCAAUCACCACCAUUCAGAUUUGAUAGACUGACCAAUCGCUGUGAAGUGCCCAGUGUUGGGUGUAGAAUUGUCAUCACCACCACAUGCCUUAUCCUGUGUGUAUGUAUGUAUUUAGUAUGUUAUAUCACUGUUAUAAUCAAAAGUAGAGGCAAUAAAGAGAAUGUCAACUUA